CCAGACUCCUACGGGAGGCAGCAGUGGGGAAUAUUGCACAAUGGGGGAAACCCUGAUGCAGCAACGCCGCGUGAGUGAAGAAGUAUUUCGGUAUGUAAAGCUCUAUCAGCAGGGAAGAGAAUGACGGUACCUGACUAAGAAGCCCCGGCUAACUACGUGCCAGCAGCCGCGGUAAUACGUAGGGGGCAAGCGUUAUCCGGAUUUACUGGGUGUAAAGGGAGCGUAGACGGCUGUGCAAGCCAGAUGUGAAAGCCCGGGGCGCAACCCCGGGACUGCAUUUGGAACUGCGGGGCUUGAGUGUCGGAGAGGCAGGCGGAAUUCCUAGUGUAGCGGUGAAAUGCGUAGAUAUUAGGAGGAACACCAGUGGCGAAGGCGGCCUGCUGGG
rnacentral:rRNA from 1 species